ensembl:snoRNA
AGGUAAUUUCAAAGAGGGCUGAUGGGCCCAAAUCCAGUUGCUCUUAAGGCCAUGACCAAAGAAUGAGCUCACCAUUGGAUGUAAUAGUCACUUGAUGUGCUAUGUAUUCCUGAUGGAGAUUUGCAG